CCAGUGAGGUCUAAAGAAAGAUGGACCUCCAAUCAACCAGGGAGGUCCGAGGAAAGACGGACCUCCAAUCAACCAGGGAGGUCUGAAGAAAGACAGACCUUGAAUCAACGAGGGGUCUCCAUG